AAAAAACUAAGUGGCAAAAACCUAGAAAUGGCUAAGAAGAGGAUAAACAUAAAAAGGUUCCAUUAGUUUGGAUGACAACCUUCACAUGAAGAUCUGGUGUUGUGCUCACUCCAAUUGUCGUUGCCCCAACACCGGAAUAUCCUCAUACCUUCACAUGAAGAUCUGGUGUUUUGCUCACUCCGAUUGUCGUUGCCCCAACACCAGAAUAUCCUCAUACCUCUUCUGCAAUGAGCACAAAAGAAAUGGAAUUAGUAUGGCCAAUUGUAGAUCCAAUAUGAUACCAAUUGAUAAUUUGUUUGGACCAGACAUGUUUGUAUCUACAAAGUAUUAAAGUCUCAUUUGGCAUCAAUAUGUUUUCUUCUUCUUCUUUUUUUUGUGAAGUUCUAUAUGCAUGGUUAAAGACAUUCAGACCUAACUUCUUCGAUUUUGUUAAGUCAAACUGUUUGAAAGCCCUGUAUUUAUGAGUUAAGUUUAACCACAAAAAAAUGUAGCGCUAACCUUUUUCGUUUAUUCAAUUUUCAAAAAGAAAAAAAAAAAGGACGAGUUUGCAAAUUAAUCAAUGAUAUGGAAACAAAAUCUUCGUUGCAAUACACUAAAUACGAAAAUCAUUUGUAUUUCUUUUCCUGCAUAACAUUUAACAUUCUUCGCAUGGUACAAAUUGCAUCCAAUGAUGUGAGAUUAUUUGGAGUUCAUAUAGUAGAGAGAAGCCAACAAUAUCAUGUAUCUUUAUGAAAAACUUAUCCAAGAUAUCCAAGAUGGGCUUUCAAGCAGAUACUGGAGUUUCAACUCUUUACGAGAUUUGUAUCAAUCAAGAAGUAUGAUAAUGAACAAAUGUGGAUGAAUAAAACCAAGAAAAGUUGCACAUUAUUCUACAUUGUUUUCAUAACUUCUUUUAAUAGUUCACCAAAGCAGAACUACGACCAGCACAGGGGAAUCUGUCAUCGUGGUUAUGAAAGCAAAACCUCAAAAGAGUGUAUAUAUAUAUAUAUAUAUAUAUAGAGCUAGGCUGGUAUACUAUUGGUAGCACAGAGGCCUCCGUGCUACCAAGUUGUUUUCAAUUAUGCGGCUUUCAAAUCGACGAUCGGCUCCGUUAGACUUGAUCUACACUAUUAAAAGUAUUUGGAAACUAAAUUUCAUAAUUUUUUGACAUCAUUUGGCUAAGUGAUCAAAAGGUUCCAAAAUUGAUUAUUUUAAUGGUCGAUGUGGUGCGUUUUUAAGUUCAACGGUGUAGAAGUAUCCAAAUUAUAUGAAAAUUUAAUAGAAAAUUCUACUUAACGUUAAUAGGAAGAUCAAUACUUCCGAUUUGAAUUUUGAGUUCUUUAUCAUUGUUUUUUAUGAGAUUUUUAUUUUCAGCCGUUCAUUUUUAGGCUACUCGUUUGCUAGGUAAAUGAUGUCGAAAAAUUAUGAAAUUUGGUUUCUAGAUAGUUCUUAAUAGUGUAGAUCAUGUCUAACGGAGCCGAUCGUUGUUUUGGACGUCGUAUCAUUGAAAACAACUUGGUGGUACGGAGGCCUUCGUGCUUUCGAUAGUAUAGGAGCCUAGCUCUAUAUAUAUAUAUAUAUAUGGGGCAAUAUGUCUAUAUACCCCUGAGAAUUUUGCGGUUUUCUUAUUCUAUCUCUCGUACGAAGGCCUUGGUACUAUUGAGUUUUUGGCCGUUGUUAUGUUCAAAGUCUUUGCGGUUAGGAUGAUAGUGGUCCCCUAGGGUUGAGUGGGUGGUUGGUUUAAUAGUAUCCUUUAACGGGUGGAGCUGAUCACAGGUUAGAUCUAACUGUAGAAAACUCUAUAGUACCAUUGGCUUGGUCCUAUUCCAAUAGUACCCUUGUAGCCUGACUCUAUCUUUAUCUAUAUAUAUCUUUCAUAUAUCAUAUACUUUUCUAAUUUGCCCUUCAAAUAUCAAUUAAUUAAUAAAGCACGUCGGGAGCGAGCAGAUGAACAGAUGAGAUCGAUCGCAGCUAAACCAAACUUGGUGGCUAGAGGUAUAGUUAAUUCGGAUUCGGUAAAAAUUCGUUACAUAUAUAAUUCGUCUUUUAAUUUUUAAAUUAGUUGAAAAAUACGGCUAAAAAACGAAUUCGGCAAUUAUUCAAAUACGUGAUUUAUACGGAUAUUAUACGUUCACCAAUUAAAAUUUCGGGAUAAAAAAUUCAGCUAUAUAAUAAAUAUAUAAUAAUUAAUAUACUAUAUAUAUAUUAUUAUUAUAAUUUUUAUAUAUAGAUUAAAUAUAUUUAAAAUUAUAAUAAAUAUAUAUUAAUAAUAUAUAAGAGUUAUAUAUUUAAAANGGAGAGGACGGCGACCCCUUCGACCCCCCGCUCCUCCUUCCCCCGCCCCGCCCUCGACUCCCUCCUGUCCCUCCGUGACGUCGUCCUCUCUGGGCGCUUCCGCUGGGGCGACCACCUCCGUCCCUUGGUCCCCUCCCCGCGCGCCUCCACCGCCGCCAACUUCUUCGUCCUUUUGAAGCGCAAGCUCCGUGCCCUCCAGGAGCUCCUCCAUUCCAGGACCGGCUCCUCCACGAGCUCCUCCUCCGCCGCUCUCGUCGUCAUUGUCCUCCUCCUCCGCCGCCUUGGCCGGCGCCGGGAGCAAGAGGGCUGCAGUGACGAUCCCAUCUCGCCCGAGGCCGUCCGCGUGCCGAGAGCAAGAGGGCGCGGUGUUACGCGCGGAGGGGAGCAGCGUGUGCGCGGUCCACGAGGCCAGUUUGGCCUCGUGGACCGGAUGAGAGGGAGGUCCACGGUGGACCUCCCUCUCAUUAUAUAUAUAAAUUAAAAUAUAUAAAUAUAUGUAUAUAUAUAUAAUUUUAUUUAUAAAAUAUAUAUUUAUUAUAGUAUUUUAUUUAUAUUAAUAGAAAUAUUAUUAUAUAAUAUUUUAUUAUAAUUUUUAAUUAUUAUUGAUAUUGAAAAUACUAUAACUCUAUAUAUUAUAUAAUAUAUUUAUUAUAAUUUUAAAUAUAUUUAAUCUAUAUAUAAAAAUUAUAAUAAUAAUAUAUAUAUAGUAUAUUAAUUAUUAUAUAUUUAUUAUAUAGCUGAAUUUUUUAUCCCGAAAUUUUAAUUGGUGAACGUAUAAUAUCCGUAUAAAUCACGUAUUUGAAUAAUUGCCGAAUUCGUUUUUUAGCCGUAUUUUUCAACUAAUUUAAAAAUUAAAAGACGAAUUAUAUAUGUAACGAAUUUUUACCGAAUCCGAAUUAACUAUACCUCUAGCCACCAAGUUUGGUUUAGCUGCGAUCGAUCUCAUCUGUUCAUCUGCUCGCUCCCGACGUGCUUUAUUAAUUAAUUGAUAUUUGAAGGGCAAAUUAGAAAAGUAUUUGCUAUAUGAAGGGUAUAUAAGAAAAGUUAGUUAGGGUACAAGGGUAUAUUGGAAUGGGCAAAAUGGUAAUUUUCCAGAGAUAACGGCAGCUCACUGACGGAACUUAACUACAGGGGUAUAUUAGAAAGACUUUGAACAUAAGAAGGGUAUUUUCAAUAUUAGCCUUCUUAGAGAGAUAAAUAAGAAAACCGGAAACUUUUCAGGGGUAUAUAGACAAUUGCCCCAUAUAUAUAUAUAUAUAUAGAGCUAGGCUCCUAUGCUUUCGAAAGUACGAGGGUCUCCGUACUUGUAAGUUGUUUUCGAUGAUGGGACGUCCAAUACAGCGAUCGGUUCCGUUAGACAUGAUCUACGCUAUUGGAACUAUCUAGAAACCAAAUUUCAUAAUUUUUUGACUUCGUUUGCCUAGUGAACGAGUAGCCUCGAAAUGAGCGGCUGAGAAUAAAAAUCUCAUAAAAAACAAUGAUAAAGGACUCAAAUUUCAAAUCGGAAGUAUUGAUCUUCCUAUUAACGUUAAGUAGAAUUUUUUAUUAAAUUUUCAUAUAAUUUGGAUACUUCUACACCGUUGAACUUAAAAACGUGCCGCAUCGGCCAUUAAAAUAAUCAUUUUUGGGACCUUUUGAUCGCUUAGUAAAUGAUGUCAAAAAAUUAUAAAAUUUGGUUUUUAGAUAGUUCCAAUAGGGUAGAUUACACCUAAUGGAACCGAUCGUCGAAUCGGAUGUCCUAUCAUCGAAAACAACUUACAAGCACGGAGGCCCCGGUACUUUCGAAAGUAUAGUAGACGCACUGUAUAUAUAUAUAUAUAUGAGUUAGUCUCCUAUACUAUCUAUAGUACCGGGGCUCCGGUACUAUAGUCCCAUUUUCGAUCUUCGGGUGUUCAAAUCAACGAUCCACACCAUUAAAACUGAUCUAGGAUAUUUAAAGUUUUUAGAAAUAAAAUUUUAUAUUUUUUCGACAUAGUUUACUUUAUGAUCAAAUCAUUUCAAAAUUGUCAAUUUUCAAUGGCUACUAUGGCGAGUUUGAAGUUUAACGGUGUAGAAGAAUCUAAAUUUCUUAAAUUUUGAUAGAAAAUAAUUUAAACUAUCUAGAUUAAGAUUAACAUUCUUGAUCUUGAAUUUAAAAGUCCUAUGCUCAAAUUUUAAAGAUUAUUCAAUUUCCACCGUCCAUUUUGACAUACUUUAUUUACUAAGUAAACGAUGUCGAAAAAAACUAAAAUUUUAUUCCUAAAGACUUCAUAUACUCUAAAUCAUAUUUAAUGGUGUGGAUCGUUAAUUUGAACACCCUAAGAUCGAAAACAAGACUAUAAUACCGGAGCUCCGAUACUAUAGAUAGUAUAGUAGCCUAAUUCUAUAUAAAUAUACAUAUACAUAUAGAGCUAGGCUGGUAUACUAUCGGUAGCACGGAGGCCUCCGUGCUACCAAGUUGUUUUCAAUGAUCCGGCUUCCAAAUCGACGAUCGGCUCCGUUAACUUGAUCUACACUAUUAAAAAUAUUUGGAAACUAAAUUUCAUAAUUUUUCGACAUCAUUUGGCUAGUGAUCAAAAGGUCUCAAAAUUGACAAUUUUAAUGGUAGAUGUAUGCCAUUUGUAAAUUAACGGUAUAAAACAAUCCAAAUCAAUGAAAUUUUUCUAUAGCAAAAUUUUUAUUUACUAUUUUAGGAGUUAAGAUCAGUACCUCUGAGAUUUUAUUUUCAGCGUUCCAUUUUAGCUACUGUUUAUAUAGCGUAAAUAAUACCGAAAAAAUUAUGAAAUUUAGUUCCUCAAAUACUUUCAAUAGUGUAAGAUUCAAGUCUAAAGGAGGGCAUCCGAUCGUCGAGUUUGGAAGCCGAACAUUGGCAAACAACUUUGUAGGUACGUAGACGCUCGUGCCUACCGAUAGCUAUACCAGCUAGCUCGAUGCGGUUCCAAAUCGAGACACUAUCGGGCUUGUUAGACGUGAAUCUACACUAUUGAAAGUAUUGGAACGUAAAUUUCAUUUAAGUUCCCUUCGAUAUUGCGUAUGGUGACAAAAGAGUUAUAGAAAUUGAACUUUUAAUGGGUAAAUUGAUGCAAUGGUGUAAAUCUUAACCGGGGCACCGAUGGAGCCAUAUAAUGAAAACAUCCAUAAUCAGAUGCGGACUGAGAGUUUUUGAUAGAAGAAUUUGGGCUCGGGGGGACUAUUUAGAGGUAAGAUCAGGUAUUGCUCACGAAUUCAAAUCUUCUAUCAUCAUUUUUAUGAGUAUUGUUAUUUUCAGCAGUUCAUUUUUAACUAUCAUUUGAUAGAUAAAUAAUACUAAAAAAUCAUGAAAUUUAGUUUCCAAAUACUUUUAAUAGUGUAAUCAAGUCUAACGGGUUCGAUCGUCGUUUGGAAGCCGCAUCAUUGAAAACAACUUGAUGCGGCUUCCAAAUCGACGAUCGGCUCCGUUAGACUUGAUCUACACUAUUAAAAAUAGCAAGAGCAAUGCAUUAAAGAGUCAAUCAAAUAAAUGCACUGUGAUACAAAACCCAAGACUGUGACAUGGAUUACAUUGUAACGCAGCCUAAAUAGUUUAUAUCAUGUAAGUCGCUAAGAAGACUGCAAUUACUGUUACGAAUAUUUGCAGUUGGUAUCUGUACAAUCAUCUUAUUCCAACAUCUAAGGCUCCGUUUGGUUCGGGGUUAAGUAAAGCCUAGUUAUUCCAAUGAUAGGGUUAAGUUCAGGGUUAAGGUGGGGUUAAGAGUAAUUUUGUGUUUCAUUGAAAAUUGGAUUUAGUCCAGGAAUAAGCGAAAUAGUGUUUGGUUGGAGUAAUGGAAUAAGAAGGAUAGUGGUUGGUAAAGAGGUAAAAUGACCAAAAUACCCUCACAUUAAUCUAUUGAUAGAAAUGCUUUUUUUUUGCAUUUAAAUUGAUAUGAUUGCAAAUUAUUUUGAGGAGUCAAAUUAAAUUAAUUGGAGCGUAAUUUCUUACCAAAAAUUAUUUUUCACUACUCUUUUGUGACUUUGAAAUUACCAAAAUUUUACAAACAACUAUUUUAAAUUUUUCUGAAGUUCAAAUUUCAUGAACAAUUGCAUUUCACGAACAACUAUUUUACGAACAAUUGCAUUUUAACCCUCCAAUAACACUAAUUUCCAACAUUUUAAUUUCAGCCCCUAGCAGAGGUGAGUACUGGUACGCGAUUUCAAACCCGGUUGCGCCGAUAACACUUUUACUUCCGAAACUCACUCCUAACCAUCCUAACGCGUACAAGGCAACUUUUGCACUUCACUUAUCACUCUCAUACGACACGUAGAUCAAUUUGAUAAACAUUAGCAUUACGAUUAGGAUAUUCGAUAUAAUACACAAAUAUUUAAAUACAUCAAGCCAAUCUGCACAUCAACGAACAGUUACAAAGAUAACAACACAUUGAAUCAAAAAAAAUUAUAUAUACAACCAAAACUGUGUGAUAGAGUACAACUAUAUAACAGAGUCGUAUAACACAAUUACAUCUACCUACAUGAUUUACCAACAUUUGGCAAAUAAACAAACGCAAACAAGAAAAGCUAAUCACAAUUUCUAACAUUACUACAUGUUUCAAAGUUACAAAGAAACAAGCAAGUAUUACAAACCAUAUGCAUCUCAUACAUCAACAUCUUAGUUUAGUCAAAUUCCAAUACAACUACUACACUUAGUUCUACCAAAUAGCAAUACAAUUUUCAAAUUUAUAGUGAACUAUGUUCUACUGCUUCACAAUUGGUUUGUAAUAUUAGCAUGGAGAUCCUCACAAUUUUGGGAGUCACCAUUUCGUCCCAAAAAAUCGCGUUCUUCAUCUUCAUUUUCAACAUCCUAUUCAUCUAGCUCGCCAAAAAAUAUGUUAUCAUUUGCUUGGUAACGGCGAAAAAAGUUAUGUAGUAUACAACAUGCCAUAGCAAUCAAGCAUUGCACUUUAUACGGGUACGGUGUUACUACAUUGAGAAUUUUGAAAUGCUUCUUCAAAAUGCCAAAUGUCUCUCGACCACAUUUCUUAAUUGAGCAUGCCGGCGGUUAUACAAAUAUCGUGGAUUUCGAUGAAUGCGGGUUCAUGUAUUAGCAUCAAAUUGACUAAUAUGGUAACGCUCUCCUCUAUAGGGUGCAAGAAAUCUAUCUGUAUUUGCGUAUCCCGAGUCUAGUAAGUAAUACUUACCUGCGAAUAAGAUAAUUACCAGUUAUUAAGUAAAUGCGAAUUAUCAGUAAUAUAAUCAUAUAUAUAUUAUAAACGGGAAAUAAUUAGCAUCGCUACCUUCGGGAACAACGAAACCACCAGUUUCGCACCCCUAUCGAAGUACUCUCAUAUCGGCAGCAGAUCCUUUCCAAUCUGUGCAUACAAAUAUAAAAUUUUGAUCAAACGACACGGCAGCCAUCAUAUUUUGUGAGGUAAACCCUUUCCGACAGUGAAAUAAUGCUUGUUUGCUCCGUCGGACCACUACUGGAAUGUGUUCCGUCGAUCGCACAAAUAGCAUUCUACAGUUGAAAAGAAAACACAAAAAACAUUAGUAAUAAAACAUUUUUAUUAACCAAUGUAUUAUAUAUAUAAGCGUGCAUAGUUACCUUGAAAUGAUGAAAAUUUGGAUUAUCCCUAAUCCUUGGAUGCACGGCAGCAUUACUUGACGGCAACAUUACGUACUCAUCUUUUAGCCUCACAAUGCCACGUACAACGUUGUUAAAAUGUCUACUAAUAGUUUCUCCUGAAUGUUGGAAUGUUUCCGCGAGAAUCCGGUUUGCCACGCCAUAGCCUACGCCAAAUAAAAAUAUGGCUAACUGCUCGUCAGCAGCCAUAUUUCUUGUGCUACUUAUCAACCCCCUUUCGACUAACGCAUCGCAGAGUACAAUAAAUGUAGUUGCACUCAUACGAAAGUUAUGGUAGCAUCGUUCAUGAUAACCAGACAAAAUAUCACACAACAUUUGAUGUCCGGUAAACGGUCGAGUUUGACAUCUUUGUCUGGGGACUCUAUUUGCAAAUGUUGGAUUUUCUAGCUCAAGUUGCAUUAAAUGUUGAGUUUUCUUAGUUUCACAUAAGCUAACUUUGAGUUGUUGGUUUUCAACUUGAAGUUUUUCAAAUUGUUUGUCAUAAUGAAGAAUUGGCUUAAAAUUUAGACCUUCAAUUUUCUUCUUUAAUGCUUCAUUUUCACGAAUGAGACUACAACAUGUCUCAUUAGCUUGUUUAAGCUUUUUCGUGAGUAAAGAGUCCUCAUUUUCAAAUAUUAAAGAAGGAUUUGAAGUUGAAAAUUUUAAGUUGUUAACCUCCAUCUCUAAUAAGGCAUUUUGCUUUUUGAGAGAUGUAUAUUUCGGACCCAAACUUUGUAGAUUAUCAUACAAAGAAAAGAAGGCUUCUAAAAGUUCAUCAUAACUUAAAUUAUUUACCUCAUCUUCAAGAGCCAUAAGACAUAGUAUUGAGUUUUACUCUUCGAGGCAAAUUUGGGCAACUUCGUUUUCCGAUUCAUCAUCGCUAGAUUCGUCGGGGGCGUCCCAAUUUAGUGCAUUGAAGGCUUUCUUUUUCUCAGGAGCCGCUUCGUUGUCAUAUUUUUUGAGGCGUUGUUCAUGCGCCAUGAGUGAUCCGACAAGUUCGUCAAUUUUUACUUUGUCCAAGUCAUGAGCUUCUUGAAUAGCCGUAAUCUUAGGUAUCCAACUUCUCGGUAGUACACGAAGAAGUUUUCGUACCAAGUCCGAUUGAGGAAAAUUCUUACCUAAGGCUUUCAAGCUAUUUAUAAUAUUAGUAAAUCUUGUGAUCAUAUUCGAGAUGGAUUCACUUUCCUCCAUUUUGAAUAGUUCAUAAUUUGACAUAAGUAUGCUUAUUUUAGAUUCCUUCACCCUAGAAGUACCUUCAUGAGUAACUUCUAAUUUAUCCCAAAUCUCUUUAGCCGUUGUGCAUGUAGAGAUUCGGUGAAAUUCUUCUCUACUGAGAGCGCAAAGGAAUGAAUUGAUAGCUUUAGCAUUCAAUUGAAAAUGAAAUUUUUCAGUUUCAUUCCAUUACGCUCUUGAUUUUGAAUAUAGAGAGAUCUAAAACACAAAACUCAAGAUAAAAGAUUAGUCCAAUAAUCGUAAUUAUUUGUUAUCAUCAAAAUCUAAUAGAAGAUUAGGACCACUAGGCCAACAAUCUCCCCCUUUUUGAUGAUGACAAAUAAUGUGAUAUAAUAUUCAAAUGAGUAGAGAGCAAAAGAGUAGAAUACUCCCCCUAAAUAUAUGCAUAUAUUUAACAAGCAUAUAACACAAUCAUAGGCAUAGCAUAUAUCACAAUAAAGUAAGCAAUCAUGUAGACAAAUAUCAAAAUGUAAACGAGGUUCACAUAGCAUAGCAUAAUAAAACAUAAGCAACAUAAUAAACCACAAGGAUAACAUAGUAUAUCACAUAGCAAGUUCUCCCCCUUUGUCAUCACAAAAAAAGCAUAAAAAGGAAACUAGCAAAACUUGGUAGAAACAUAAGCUAAUCAUCAUCAUUAUCGUCAUUUUCUUCAUCGUCCUCAUGAUCCGUAGGCGAAACUGGUGGAGGCAUAGUGGAGGAGGAUGGUCGAUCAACGUGGGGUCCAUACGUGGCAUAAAAGGCACUAGAAGGUCCAAAGAGAGAGUCCAUGUAUGCCUUGAUGCCGGAAACAUCUGUCUGUAAAGUAUGCAUAUGUUCUUCCAUCCUAUCCAGUCGAUUAAAAACUUGGUCUUGAAAAUCCAUAGGAGGAGGAGCAUAAGGCAGAGGCACAACAGGUGGUGGCUGAAAGGGUAGAGGAGAAGCUCAUGGUGGCGGCUCAACUGGUGGAGAAGGCGCUCGAGGUGGCGGCUCAUACGGCAUAGGAUCAUCCCCGGCGUCGGCAUCGUCAUCACUAUGCUCGCUGGGCAAAUCAAUUAUAUGCUUUCUUACCCAAAUGCUAUGACGAUUUUUCUUGAAGCCAAGUGUGGAGAAAAUAGCUGUAGAAAUGGCGGUGGGGUACUUCAUCGGCCUCACGUCGGAAAGAUCAAAUGACAUGAACUCGAGGACGGCGGUGAGCAAAGAGCCAUAUGGAAGUGAGCACGAGGGAUGAGAAGCGGCGACGGCCAUGUGGCGAACGAUGAUAUAGCCCAAAUUAACCCGGAUUCCCGCAAAUAAAUGAUAAAGUAGAAAAAGAUCCAUUUUUUGAACAGCGGUGUGGUGACCGUCUUGAGGAAGAAUUACUUUAGUAAGUAAAAAGUGGGCGAGGCGAUGAGGAAAGAAAAGAUGAGAGCAAUCUUCUCGUGAAGUCGAAUCUUCACAAAGAAAAUGAUUACGGAGUUGCGCCUCAGAAAAUACAGGAAAGUUCCAAGUGUUGGUUUGGUAGUAGCAAACGCCGUCAUUUGGAAUGUUUAAAACGGUGUGAAGAAGGAUAGGAGUAAUGGCAAAAACAUGUCCCCGGUAGUGGGAAGUAAUAGUAGUAAAUUCGGAAUUAAAAGCGGCAUUUGCAUAAAAAGUCCUAAUUAGGUCCGGAUAAAAAGGUCGCGAAGUUUGAACAAAAAAAUCCCAUCCGACUUGUGUGAGCUUAUCCAAAAGUUCAUAACAAUCAAAAUUUAGAUGAUGAAUGUUACGGCAAGAUUGAACGGGACGACCUAAAAGAAAUUUAUCUUGAGCUUCUCUAGAUACAAAGUUAAAAGCAUCAAAAUCUUCAUUUUGAUAAUCUCUAUGUGAGGAAGAGCCUCUAGAUGCAUUUUUAGUUCUAGGCAUUUUUUUUUUAAUAAUAAUAAUAAAAAAAAGCUAGGGUUUAUGCAAAAAAAAAUGGAACAAGAUGCAAGAUCUAGGAUGAAAUGAUGGAGAUCUAGGUAAAGAAAAAGAUUAAGUUGCACAAAGUACAAGAAAUUUGUAAAAAAAUUUAAAAGAGGAAGAACAUGGAUAUGAUUAAUAGCAGGAAGAAGAAAAAAAAAAUUUAAAAAAAAUACCACAGAUUGAAGAGGAAGGAGAGGAAAUCUGAGCUUUGGAGGAGUUGUGGGCGGAUCUGAUGCAGGCUGGGCGCAGGAAGUGGGUGACCGGACUGGGAGGAGGAAGGAGAAGAAGAAAAGAAAAAAAAAAUGAAAGAUAAAGGCUGUCGGGCGGCUGGGACGAAGAGGGCCCGCUCGCGUGUUUCGGGCGCGAGUGCGAGCCGACGCGGUCGCCCAGAUCCGCAACCCGGAACCCGCAAGGGCAGUCAAAGCGGCGCGGCGGUCAAAGCAGGUUUUCAGGCGCGAGUGCGGGUCGGAUCAGUUGCCCGGAUCCGGAACCCGGUAACCCGCCAGGACGGUCAAAGCGGCGAGGCGGUCAAAGCGAGUUUUCGGGCGCGAGUGCGAACCGAGCGGUCGUCCGAAUCCGAAACCCGUUAGGUCGGUCAGACGAGGCACUGCGGUCAACGUAUGUUUCGGGCGCCCGAAAAUUUUCGGGCAACCGGAAAUUUUCGUCCGAAAUUUUCACAAGGCAAAAGGUGUUUCAAAAAAAAAAUGCAAGGCGAAAACAAAAUAACAGUCAAUCAAAAAGAGAAUAUCAAGCAGAUAAAUCAAUCAUUCCCAAUUCUCUUCUAAGUUGAGUGGACCUAUCCUCACUAAGUGGUUUAGUAAAAAUGUCUGCUAAUUGAUUAUGAGUGUCCACAAAUUCUAUAGUGACAUCUUCUUUUUGAAUAUGAUCUCUAAUAAAAUGAUGUCUAAUUUCAAUGUGUUUAGUUCUAUAAUGUGGAAUAGGAUUUCUAAAUAUGUUGAUGGCACUAGUAUUAUCACAUUUGAUUGGAACUUGUUUUCUAUGUACUCCAAAGUCCUCAAGGGUUUGUUUUCCCGCCGCGAUAUACUAGGCUUCGACGGUUGAAAGUGCAACCGAAUUUUGCUUUUUUGAAGACCAUGAAACUAAGGAGUGACUAAGAAAUUGACAAGUCCCACUCGUACUUUUCCGAUCAACUUUGCACCCGGCAAAGUCGGCAUCCGAAAAGCCAAUGAGAUUAAAAUUGGUGCCCUUUGGAUACCAUAAUCCUAAGUUGAGAGUCCCUUUAACAUAUCUAAGAAUUCUCUUUACAGCCACUAAAUGUGACUCCUUAGGUUGAGCUUGAAACCGAGCACAUAAGCAAAUACUGAACAUAAUGUCCGGCCUACUUGCGGUAAGAUAAAGUAAGCUGCCAAUCAUACCUCGGUAGAGUUUGAUAUCAACAUCCUUGCCUUUUUCAUCCUUGUCAAGUUUACUUGAGGCACUCAUUGGAGUGUUUGUCUCUUUUGAGCUUUCCAAGCCAAAUAUUUUGAUUAGGUCUUUUGCAUACUUGGCUUGAUUAAUGAAUAUUCCAUCUUUCAUUUGUUUAACUUGGAGUCCAAGGAAGAAUGAGAGUCCGCCCAUCAUGCUUAUUUCAAACUCAUUUUGCAUUAGCUUAGAGAAUUCUUUACAAAGAGAUUCAAUAGUAGCACCAAAUAUAAUAUCAUAUACAAAAAUUUGUACAAUGAGAAAAUCUUUAUCCUAAAUUUUGAUAAAUAAUGUGAUGUCAACUUUUCCUCUUGAAAAAUUAUUUGAAGUAAGAAAAGUGCUAAGUCUUUCAUACCAGGCGGUAGGAGCUUGUUUUAAACCGUAAAGUGCUUUUGAAAGCUUAAAAACGUGAUCCGGAAAGUUAUGUUUUUCAAAACCGGGUGGUUGCUCAACAUAAACUUCUUCGGAAAUGUAUCCAUUUAAGAAAGCACUUUUUACAUCUAUUUGAAACAAUUUGAAAUUCAUAUAAGAGGCAAAUGCUAGAAAAAUUCGAAUAGCUUCAAAUCUAGCAACCGGUGCAAAUGUUUCAUCAAAAUCAAUUCCUUCAAUUUGGUUGAAACCUUGGGCCACUAGUCUAGCCUUGUUUCGAACCACAACACCUGAUUCAUCUCGCUUGUUUCGGAAGACCCAUUUAGUGCCAAUAACGGUAUGAUCACUUGGCCUUUCCACAAGCGUCCAAACUUGGUUCCUCUCAAAUUGGUUAAGUUCUUCUUGCAUCGCAAUGAGCCAAUUUUCAUCAUUGCUAGCUUCAACAAAAUUUUUAGGUUCAAUUUGAGAUAUGAAAGCCAAGUGGUCACAAAGUAAUCUAAGAGAGGAUCUUGUUUUGACUUUUUGACUUGGAUCUCCAAUGAUGGAGUCCUUGGGAUGAUAAGUGGCGAAUUUCCACACUUUAGGUAAGGGAGUGGGUUCAAUCUCUUUAGAGAUUAACUCCUCACUUUUCUUAGAUGGUUCAACUUCUUGGGGUGUGGAGUUUAUAUUUAGCUUCUCAAAGUCAAGAAGAUCAUCUUCAUAAGAAAUAUCCUUUCCCUUAUAUUCUUCAAAGAGAAUGUGCAUACUUUCCUCUAUUAUUAAAGUUCGUCGAUUAUACACUCGAUAAGCUUUACUAGUAGAGGAAUAACCCAAGAAUAUUGCUUCAUCGGAUUUAGCAUUAAAUUUUCCCAACUUAUCUUCUGUGUUUAAAAUGAAACAUUUACAACCAAAAAUUUUGAAGUAACCAAUAUUGGGAGAUCUAUUAUGCCAUAAUUCGAAAGGAGUUUUCUCAAGGAUUGGUCGAAUUAGAACACGGUUUAUAAUAUAGCAAGCCGUGUUUACGGCUUCGGCCCAAAAAUAUUUAGGCAACUCCCCCUCAAUUAACAUAGAUCUAGCCAUUUCUUGGAGAGAUCUAUUUUUGCGUUCAACAACCCCAUUUUGUUGAGGUGUUCGAGGGGUAGCAAAUUGAUGUUCUAUUCCCAAUUCAUUACAAAACUCUUCAAAGUUAUGAUUUUCGAAUUCACCUCCAUGAUCACUUCUAAUUUUGGAAAUUAUACAAUUCUUUUCAUUUUGAACAAGAUAGACAAAGUCUUUGAAGGAUUUAAAAGUAUCACACUUGUGUCUUAAAAAUAAAGUCCAAGUAUCCUUUUUGGAAGAUUAGAAUGAAGAUAUUCUUUCAAUCUCUAGAUUUUGAUAUUUGGGAUAUAAUCGAAAGUGGUUAUAUCGCUCCAUCAAAAUCAAGAGCGGAAUGGAAUGAAGCUGAAAAAUUUCGUUUUCAAUUGAAUACUAAAGCUAUCAAUUCAUUCCUUUGCACUCUCAGUAGAGAAGAAUUUCACCGAAUCUCUACAUGCACAACGACUAAAGAGAUUUGGGAUAAAUUAGAAGUUACUCAUUAAGAUACUUCUAGGGUGAAGGAAUCUAAAAUAAGCAUGCUUAUGUCAAAUUAUGAACUAUUCAAAUGGAGAAAAGUAAAUCCAUCUCGAAUAUAUUCACAAGAUUUACUAAUAUUAUAAAUAGCUUGAAAGCCUUAGGUAAGGAUUUUCCUCAAUCGGACUUGGUACGAAAACUUCUUCGUGUACUACCAAGAAGUUGGAUACCUAAGGUUACGGCUAUUCAAGAAGCUUAUGACUUGGACAAAGUAAAAAUUGAUGAACUUGUCGGAUCACUCAUGGCGCAUGAACAACGCCUCAAAGAAUAUGACAACGAAGCGGCUCCCGAGAAAAAGAAAAGCCUUGCACUUAAAGGAGUCAUUGCUUCCGAGAGUGAAGAUGGCGAAGAAGGUUCGAGCGAAGAAAUCGCUAUGAUUUCAAAAAGGCUCGAUCGACUAAUCAAGAAGCGCAACUUGAGGAGACCUAAACGAGACGGGUUCAAAGGUGAAGGAUUCAAGAAAGGAAUCAUUUGCUACAAUUGUAAUAAACCAGGAUAUUUGAAAAGUGAAUGCACUCUUCCAAACAAAACCUUUAAGAAAGACAAGAAAAAGAAAGCCUUCAAUGCACUAAAUUGGGACGCCCCCGACGAAUCUAGCGAUGAUGAAUCGGAAAACGAAGUUGCCCAAAUUUGCCUCGAUGAGCAAAACUCAAUACUAUGUCUUAUGGCUCUUGAAGAUGAGGUAAAUAAUUUAAGUUAUGAUGAACUUUUAGAAGCCUUCUUUUCUUUGUAUGAUAAUCUACAAAGUUUGGGUCCGAAAUAUACAUCUCUCAAAAAGCAAAAUGCCUUAUUAGAGAUGGAGGUUAACAACUUAAAAUUUUCAACUUCAAAUCCUUCUUUAAUACUUGAAAAUGAGGACUCUUUACUCACGAAAGAGCUUAAACAAGCUAAUGAGACAUGUUGUAGUCUCAUUCGUGAAAAUGAAGCAUUAAAGAAGAAAAUUGAAGAUCUAAAUUUUAAGCCAAUUCUUCAUUAUGACAAACAACUUGAAAAACUUCAAGUUGAAAACCAACAACUCAAAGUUAGCUUAGGUGAAACUAAGAAAACUCUUGAGAAAUUUGUUGGAGGAACCAAGUAUCUAAAUAUGAUGCUUGGAAAUCAAGUUGUAAACUUCAAAAAGUUUGGGAUAGGUUAUGUUCCUAAUCCAAACAAUGUUAAGUUGACAAAAGCUAAGAGAAAGGUUUUUGUUAAAAGUACAGCUCAAAACCCAACUUUGCAUUGCUCCUAUUGUAAUAUUAAAGGACAUCAUAUAUCCUCUUGCAAAUAUAAGAAGAAUCCUAAACUUAACCAAAUUUGGGUUGUGAAAGGUUUAUCUAACACAAAAGGACCCAAUCUCACUUGGGUACCAAAGUUAAAAACUUGAUUUGUUUUUGUAGGUGUGUCUCCAAUCAAAAGGUGCAAGUGACAAAUGGUACUUAGAUAGCGGAUGCUCAAGACAUAUGACUUGUGAUCAAACCAAGUUUAAAUCAAUUGAAAUGAAAGACGGAGGAUUUGUCACCUUUGGAGACAACACUAGAGGAAAGAUCAUUGGAAUCGGCACAAUCGGUGAUGAAAAGGUUAACAUUUCCAAUGUUCUUUUAGUUGAUGGCCUUAAACAUAAUUUACUAAGUAUUAGUCAAUUAUGUGAUAAAGGCUAUUUUGUAAAGUUUGAAGCAUCUCAUUGUAGCAUUCUUGAUCCUUCUACAAAUGAGGUAGCUUUUAUGGGUUUUAGAUCCAAGAAUAUUUAUACCGUUGAUUUAGGCAAACAUGAAGGAGAAAAAUGUUUUUCGGUUUAAACUAACGAAUCUUGGCUUUGGCAUAGAAGGUUAGCACAUACUAAUAUGGAUUCUCUUUCUAAACUUUCCAAAAGAAAACUUGUAAAAAGUUUACCUAAAAUAAACUAUGCCAAAGGUGAGGUUUGUAAUGCUUGUGCUCAAGCUAAGCAAGUAAAAUCAUCUUUUAAAUCCAAAAAUGUUGUCUCAACAAAUAGGCCUUUAGAAUUGAUUCAUAUGGAUCUCUUUGAACCAAUUGAUGUCUCUGGCCUUGGUGGAAGCAACUAUGUUUUCGUAAUUGUUGAUGAUUACUCAAGAUUUACUUGGACUUUAUUUUUAAGACACAAGUAUGAUACUUUUAAAUCCUUCAAGGACUUUGUCUAUCGUGUUCAAAAUGAAAAAAAUUGUAUAAUUUCCAAAAUUAGAAGUGAUCAUGGAGGUGAAUUCGAAAAUCAUAACUUUGAAGAGUUUUGCAAUGAAUUGGGAAUAGAACAUCAAUUUGCUACCCCUCGAACACCUCAACAAAAUGGGGUCGUUGAACGCAAAAAUAGAUCUCUCCAAGAAAUGGCUAGAUCUAUGUUAAUUGAGGGGGAGUUGCCUAAAUAUUUUUGGGCCGAAGCCGUAAACACGGCUUGCUAUAUUAUGAAUCGUGUUCUAAUUCGACCAAUCCUUGAGAAAACUCCUUUCGAAUUAUGGCAUAAUAGAACUCCCAAUAUUGGUUACUUCAAAAUUUUUGGUUGUAAAUGUUUCAUUUUAAACACAAAAGACAAGUUGGGAAAGUUUGAUGCUAAAUCCGAUGAAGCUAUAUUCUUGGGUUAUUCCUCUACUAGUAAAGCUUAUCGAGUGUAUAAUCGACGAACUUUAAUAAUAGAGGAAAGUAUGCAUAUUCUUUUUGAAGAAUAUAAGGGAAAGGAUCUUUCUUAUGAAGAUGAUCUUCUUGACUUUGAGAAGCUAAAUAUAAACUCCACACCCCAAGAAGUUGAACCAUCUAAGAAAAGUGAGGAGUUAAUCUCUAAAGAGAUUGAACCCACUCCCUUACCUAAAGUGUGGAAAUUCGCCACUUAUCAUCCCAAGGACUCCAUCAUUGGAGAUCCAAGUCAAAAAGUCAAAACAAGAUCCUCUCUUAGAUUACUUUGUGACCACUUGGCUUUCAUAUCUCAAAUUGAACCUAAAAAUUUUGUUGAAGCUAGCAAUGAUGAAAAUUGGCUCAUUGCGAUGCAAGAAGAACUUAACCAAUUUGAGAGGAACCAAGUUUGGACGCUUGUGGAAAGGCCAAGUGAUCAUACCGUUAUUGGCACUAAAUGGGUCUUCCGAAACAAGCGAGAUGAAUCAGGUGUUGUGGUUCGAAACAAGGCUAGACUAGUGGCCCAAGGUUUCAACCAAAUUGAAGGAAUUGAUUUUGAUGAAACAUUUGCACCGGUUGCUAGACUUGAAGCUAUUCGAAUUCUUCUAGCAUUUGCCUCUUAUAUGAAUUUCAAAUUGUUUCAAAUGGAUGUAAAAAGUGCUUUCUUAAAUGGAUACAUUUCCGAAGAAGUUUAUGUUGAGCAACCACCCGGUUUUGAAAAACAUAACUUUCCGGAUCACGUUUUUAAGCUUUCAAAAGCACUUUACGGUUUAAAACAAGCUCCUAGAGCCUGGUAUGAAAGACUUAGCACUUUUCUUACUUCAAAUAAUUUUUAAAGAGGAAAAGUUGACACCACAUUAUUUAUCAAAAUUAAGGAUAAAGAUUUUCUUAUUGUACAAAUUUAUGUAGAUGAUAUUAUAUUUGGUGCUACUAAUGAAUCUCUUUGUAAAGAAUUUUCGAAACUAAUACAAAAUGAGUUUGAAAUGAGCAUGAUGGGCGAGCUCUCAUUCUUCCUUGAACUCCAAGUUAAACAAAUGAAAGAUGGAAUAUUCAUUGAUCAAGCCAAGUAUGCAAAAGACCUAAUCAAAAGAUUUGGCUUGAAAAGCUCAAAAGAGACACACUCCAAUAAGUACCUCAACUAAACUUGACAAGGAUGAAAAAGGCAAGGAUGUUGAUAUCAAACUCUACCGAGGUAUGAUUGGCAGCUUACUUUAUCUUACCGCGAGUAGGCCGGACAUUAUGUUCAGUGUUUGCUUAUGUGCUCGGUUUCAAGCUCAACCUAAGGAGUCACACUUAGUGGCUGUAAAGAGAAUUCUUAGAUAUGUUAAAGGGACUCUCAACUUAGGAUUAUGGUAUUCCAAGGGCAUCAAUUUUAAUCUCAUUGGCUUUUCGAAUGCCGACUUUGCCGGGUGCAAAGUUGAUCGGAAAAGUACGAGUGGGACUUGUCAAUUUUUUGGUCACUCCUUAGUUUCAUGGUCUUCGAAAAAGCAAAAUUCGGUUGCACUUUCAACCGCCGAAGUCGAGUAUAUUGCGGCGGGUUGUUGUUGUGCACAAGUUUUAUGGAUGAAACAAACCCUUGAGGACUUUGGAGUACAUCAAAAAGAAGUUCCAAUCAAAUGUGAUAAUACUGGUGCCAUCAACAUAUCUAGAAAUCCUAUUCAACAUUCUAGAACUAAACACAUUGAAAUUAGACAUCAUGUUAUUAGAGAUCAUAUUCAAAAAGAAGAUGUCACUAUAGAAUUUGUGGACACUCAUAAUCAAUUAGCAGACAUUUUUACUAAACCACUUAGUGAGGAUAGGUUCACUCAACUUAGAAGAGAAUUGGAAAUGAUUGAUUUAUCUGCUUGAUAUUCUCUUUUUAAUUGACUGUUAUUUUGUUUUUGCCUUGCAUUUUUUUUUGAAACACCUUUUGCCUUGUGAAAAUUCCGGACGAAAAUUUCCAGUCGCCCGAAAAUUUUCGGGCACCCGAAACAAACGUUGACCGCAAUGCCUCGUCUGACCGACCUAACGGGUUAACGGGUUUCGGAUCCGGGCGAUCGCUCGGUUCGCAUCUGCGCCCGAAAACCCGCUUUGACCGCCGCGCCGCUGUGACCGCCAUAGAGGGUUCCGGGUUGCGGAUCUGGGCGACCGCGUCGGCUCGCACACGCGCCCGAAACCCGCGAGCGGGCCCUCUUUGUCCCAGCCGCCCGACAGCCGUUCUCUUUCAUUUUUUUUUUCUUUUCUUCUUCUCCUUCCUCCUCCAAGUCCGGUCGCCCACUUCCUGCGCCCAGCCCGCAUCAGAUCCGCCCACAACUCCUCCAAAGCUCAGAUUUCCUCUCCUUCCUCUUCAAUCUGUGGUAUUUUUUUAAAAUUUUUUUUCUUUUCUUCUUCCUGCUGUUAAUCAUAUCCAUGUUCUUCCUCUUUUAAUUUUUUUUACAAAUUUCUUGUACUUUGUGCAACUUAAUCUUUUUCUCUACCUAGAUCUCCAUCAUUUCAUCCUAGAUCUUGCAUCUUGUUCCUUUUUUUUUGGCAUAAACCGUACCUUUUUAUUAUUAUUAUUAUUUAAAAAAACAAAAAAAUAACUAAAAAUGCAUCUAGAGGCUCUUCCUCACAUAGAGAUUAUCAAAAUGAAGAUUUUGAUGCUUUUAACUUUGUAUCUAGAGAAGCUCAAGAUAAAUUUCUUUUAGGUCGUCCCGUUCAAUCUUGCCGUAAUAUUCAUCAUCUAAAUUUUGAUUGUUAUGAACUUUUGGAUAAGCUCACACAAGUCGGAUGGGAUUUCUUUAUUCAAAAUUCGCGACCUUUUUAUCCGGACCUAAUUAGGACUUUUUAUGCAAAUGCCACUUUUAAUUCCGAAUUUACUACUAUUACUUCCCACUACCGGGGACGUGUUUUUGCUAUUACUCCUAUCCUUCUUCACACCGUUUUAAACAUUCCAAAUGACGGCGUUUGCUACUACCAAACCAACACUUGGAACUUUCCUGCAUUUUCUGAGGCGUAACUCCGCAAUCAUUUUCUUUGUGAAGAUUUUACUUCACGAGAAUAUUGCUCUCAUCUUUCCUUUCCUCACCGCCUCGCCCACUUUUUACUUACUAAAGUAAUUCUUCCUCGAGACAGUUACCACACCGCUGUUCAAAAAAUGGAUCUUUUUCUAUUUUAUCAUCUAUUUGCAGAAAUCCGGGUUAAUUUGGGGUAUAUCAUCAUUCACCACAUGGCCGUCGCCGCUUCUCAUCCCUCGCGCUCACUUCCAUAUGGCUCUUUGCUCACCGCCGUCCUCAAGUUCAUGUCAUUUGAUCUUUCCGACGUGAGGCCGAUGAAGUACCCCACCGCCAUUUCUACAGCUACUUUCUGCACACUUUGCUUCAAGAAAAAUCGUCAUGACAUUUGAGUAAGAAAGCAUAUAAUUGAUUCGCCCAGCGAGCAUAGUGAUGACGAUGCUGACGCCGGGGAUGAUCCUAUGCCGUAUGAGCCGCCACCUCGAGCGCCUUCUCCACCAGUUGAACCGCCACCACGAGCUUCUCCUCCACCCUUUCAGCCACCACCUGUUGUGCCUUCGCCUUAUACUCCUCCUCCUAUGGAUUUUCAAGACCAAGUUUUUAAUCGACUGGAUAGGAUGGAAGAACAUAUGCAUACUUUACAGAUAGAUGUUUCCGGCAUCAAGGCAUACAUGGACUAUCUUUGGACCUUCUAGUGCCUUUUAUGCCGCGUAUGGACCCCACGUUGAUCGACCAUCCUCCUCCACUAUGCCUCCACCAGUUUCGCCUACGGAUCAUGAGGACGAUGAAGAGAAUAACGAUAAUGAUGAUGAUUAGCUUAUAUUUCUACCACUUUUUGCUAGUCUCCUUUUUAUGCUUUUUUUGUGAUGACAAAGGGGGAGAACUUGCUAUGUGAUAUACUAUGUUAUGCUUGUGGUUUAUUAUGCUGCUUAUGUUUUAUUAUGCUAUGCUAUGUGAACCUCGUUUACAUUUUGAUAUUUGUCUACAUGAUUGCUUACUUUAUUAUGAUAUAUGCUAUGCCUAUGAUUAUGUUAUAUGCUUGUUAAAUAUAUGCAUAUAUUUAGGGGGAGUAUUCUACUCUUUUGCUCUCUACUCAUUUGGAUAUUAUAUCACAUUAUUUGUCAUCAUCAAAAAGGGGGAGAUUGUUGGCCUAGUGGCCCUAAUCUUCUAUUAGAUUUUGAUGAUAACAAAUAAUUACGAUUAUUGGACUAAUCUUUUAUCUUGAGUUUUGUGUUUUAGAUCUCUCUAUAUUCAAAAAGGAUUCAAGAUGGGCAAUAUUCUAGCACCAAGCUUCACCACUUGAAGCUAUGCUUGCUUCCUUUGUCAAAUAGACAAACUCAUUCUCUCUUUUUUUAAUUUCAUUAAUAUUAUGCUUAGAGUGAGAAAUUCUGAGCUAAGUUUAAACUAUUCAUUUUUAUCACCUUUUGGAUCACUUAAACAAAUUUCUAACUUGUGAUUAGGUGCAUAGAAUUUUAAAAUAUUCAAAAAAACUGCUCAAGUUUUGUGUUCUGUCAAGUUACGAUUUCUGGACCCUGUUCUGGGCGCCCUAAAGUGGAUCUGAAUCUUUUGAGACUUUUUGGAUCCUGCCUGUUUGCUGUUCGGGUGAUCCAGAAACCUCUUUAUCUUAUCUGGGCACCAUUACUUCAAAUUAGGGCAACCGAGGCUAUUUGACUUGACAGGUUGCAUAUCAGCCCAAAAAGUUCUGACAGCAGGCGGCGCGCAAUCUGGGCGCCCAGAUCUUAUGGAAGCCCAAAAAUGAUUUUGGUCAGAGAAAGCGGCGCACGCAAUCUGGGCUGUCUGGCAAGAAAGUCAGCACGAGUUUUUGGGCGCCCACAACUUUUGACGGUUCGAAUCUAGAGAAAAACGACGCAUGUCAGAAAAGUUGUCCCUCGAGAUCUGGGCGCCCACAAUUUCUGACAGCCCAAAUCCAAAGGCGCACGGCGCAUGUCAGAAAAGUUGUCCCUCGAGAUCUGGGCACCCAUAAUUUCUGACAGCCCAAAUCCAAAGGAAGCGGCGCGUGUCAGAAAAGUUGUUCCUCGUGUUCUGGGCGCCCACAACUUUUGACGGAUCAAACAUACAAAGUCAAGAAAAGCGGCGCACGUGGUCCGACAGGCAGCUGGCGUGCACAACUUCUGGGCGCCCGGAAACAGGUUUAGGGUGCCCGAAAGUACAACGGACAAAAACUGCCCGAGGCUAUAAAUAGAUGGUAUUGAGGCCUUUCUCAGCAGCAACUUGAUAGUUCAUUUGAGCUUAAAAACUUCAGUGAUCUUAAUACUCUUAGCUCUCAAUUCUCUCUCUAAACUUGAGUGAAAUUUGUAGUAAGAUUUAAUCUCGUAAAAAGAAAGAAAAGCAAAGUCUUGAAGCUUGAAAGAAGAAGGUGUUGGUGUGAAGGCUUGGUGCUUGCCCGCAAAAGCAUCAUCUAGUAGAGAUCCAACAUUCUCUAGUGUUGAGAAGUUAGCGGGGACGUAGGCAAAGUGCCGAACCUCGAAACAAAUUGAUCGUGCGCUUUUUGAGUUUGCAUUUCCUUAAACUCCUCACUUUAUUAUUUGUUUCGGGUUUUUAAAUUGUUUGAUUAUUUGGCUUUUUAUUUUAGAAACCUAAUUCACCCCCCUCUUAGGUUGCCAUUUUGAUCCUCACAAAGGACUAUCACGGUAAUAAGUCAAAACAUUAAUCUGUAAUCUUCAGGUCCUUUCUUCAUUUCCUUUUCCAAAAUAUGGCAUUGCACAUAUCAACAACUUUUAUUUUCCCAAAAAUCACUUGACCAUGAGCCAAAUGUUGGAGAUUUGGCUAUGGGAAUCAAAAGAGGUGAUAAACAGCUGGUGCAACGGACACGGACACAGAACACAAUACAAAUCAGACAAGGUGAGUCAACAGCUUCAAAAUUUAGAGCACAAACACGACAUAGACACCGCUAAAACAAUAUAAUAUAUUAUUAUGAUAAUAUAUAUUUAUUAUAUGAUAAAUUAUUAAAAUAUUAAUUUUGCUAAGAUAUUCAUCGUAUGAAUGAAAGGUAAUAAAAUUCUCAUUGAUAGUUCAUAUAUUUUAAUAAAAGAAAUUCUCCAACACACAAUUAUUUAUAUCGUCCGAAGAAAGUUCGUGUGCGUUCAUCAAAAAAUCAAAAUAUUUGUCAUCUUACAUUAUAUAUGCAUAAACAAAAGAAAAUUCAUUUUUUUUAAUAUGAUGCACCAUGGAUGUUUGAUCACGUGCGUCUAUGAAGCACAAAUACUUCAAAUUUCAUGCCAUACUCGUAUCGGACACAUAUCGGAUACCGAUAUGCGCCCGAUAUGCACCUGAUACGUGUCCGAUGCAGCAAUAAAGUAUCUAGCAUUUUUAAAAAAUAAAAAAAAUAUCUUAUACAGCUCGGAUAGGGGAGGGAUUCGAGAGGGAUACGAGGGGGAUACAGCCUGAUUCUUUUAUGGUCUAAAAUGAUCAGAGCUCAAAAUUUUGUGAAAAGCCCGCAUCCAAACCCAUUGGAAAUAAGAAAAAGAGUGAAAAAAAUGUCAAUCUCUCUUCAAUUUGUUAUUUUUUCUAUCUUUUUGCUCUUGAAUGGUUGAAGGCGCUCUCUCUCUUUCUAUUUUCACAUAGUAUUAAGCUAUGAUUCAGUCCUUUACCACGUUUCUUCCACUUCUUUUCAUCUAACUUGUUAAUCUAGAACUAAUCAACAAAGGCUAUAGGGAAUGAUUUUUUUUUUCUUUUAUUAAAUUGUUAGCAUAUUUUCUUUUAUUACUAUUUUAUAUAAUAGAACAUAAUAAAACAAACAUAUAUGUUGAAUGGCUUAUUAUCUAAUUUGUGUGACUAAAUAUCUAUUAUCAUUUGAUCAAGUUGGAUGAUAGUUGGUUGAUACAUUUUGAAUAUUAUUUCAUUGAUUAUCUUUUUUUAUGAACAGAUGUAAAACAAUUAUACAAGUUAAUAUAUAUCAGAAUAUAUUCCUAAUAUAAUCCAGAUAUCAUGAUUGUCCUCAAUAUACCAUUACAUAAAAUAUUUUAUUCAAGUAUACACCGCGUAUUGUAUCCUAGAAGUUUUAGAAAUUGCCGUAUCACCAUAUCUGUAUCGUGUUGUAUCCGUAUCUGUGCAACAUAGACGUGCGUCCAUGGCAUGUCCACAUCGGAGACGAGUCUGGCACGGAUACCCGAGGCUUACAACUAUAUAUAGAUAAACAGUCAAAUAAAUGCCAAUAAAAUUUGGUUCACCGCGUUAUCAUGAAAUUGUAUAUUCCUAUGUCUAUUCCCUUCCCAAUAGCAAUAUUGUUUCCAACUCUAAUUAAAGUGUUGAACAAAAGUUGUUUGCGACAAACAAAGGCCAAAAAUUUUCCUAUUCCAACCUUCUGAUCACACCAAGAUAACCUUAUGGACAACAUUAUAAGAAAACUUGGAGGCAUGGGUAAGAUAGUAAAAUAGUUUCAAUAUAUUACCCCAACGUUAUUGUAAUCCCAUAGCUUGUGAACACCAUAGUCCACCAUCUGCAUAACAACAAUGUCAGUUUAAGUACAAAGCAUGCAAAACAAUACCAUAUAACUAACACAAAAUUGCAAACAAAAGGAUAAGAAAAUCGCAAAGCCACAUAUUUCAACUUAUUAUAAAAAACCACAUAAACAUUAACGAUUUUCGAACAGAAAGGAACCAUUAUUUACUAUUUGCAAAUCCCACCACCCUUACCCUGUUACUCUGUAACAAAUGUAAAAGAACUUGAAAAAAGUGAUUCCUCCUCAUUGCAGAAAGAGUCCAAAAGGUAGCAAAGUAUGGAGACACCAGAACUGCAGUCCAUUUUGAAGGUAGAAGAAAAGUAUGGAGACACCUGAACUGCAGUCCAUUUUGAAACACAGAAUCCAACUUUACAUUUUUUAAAAAAAAAAAUUUACAUCCCCAUCAACUUUUAAUUGUUUUAAUUUGAGUUAUUUUCCAAAGUUCAAUUGGGAAUUCAUGGAAAUUAAUGGCUCUCUUAGCCAGCAGCCAUUAACAAUUAAUCCUGCAACUGAAAAAUGCUCAGAAUAGAUAAAUUUUACAGAAUCGCAAUUAGAUUUCACAAAAGACCCUUAUUAAUUCAUGAAAAUUGAUGAGAUGUCAACUGAAACAAAAAUAGAUCAUGGGUUUGUUUCAAAAUUGCCUAUAGUUUCGGAUUUCCCUGUACAUUUAAAUAUACUCUAAACUAAACCCACAGAGAAGGAAUAAGAGUUGUAUUCUCAAUUAAAACAAACCAAAUGACAACAUGUUCGAAUUUUAAGAACAGUAAAAACGAGAACCAAUUAAUUGGCACAAAGAUCAGAGAUUAGAACCAGCUGACGAUGAUCGAAAGAAGUGUAUAGUGUACGAAUCCGAGCAAAGAGAAACCCUAAAGGCGAUCAAAUAAGCAUCAGAGAUGUAUAAGAGAGAGAGAGAGAGAGAGAGGACCCGUUCGCCGAUGAAGGCUCCGGCGACGACGAAGGUGACGUAGACGGAGUUGCGGCGCAUGAGGACGCGGUAAAGCCCGUCCCAAAGGCCUCCGCCACCGCCGCCUCGCCUCGCCGCCGCCGCCGAAUCCAUCGUCUUAAUCUUCCCCGCGCGCUAGGGUUUGGUCUAGGGUUUCGGCGCUAGGGUUUCUUCGUCUUCGACCGCUUCGAGGAAGGGAAAAAGUGGCUCGGAGUGCUGUUUACAGGCUACAGACUACAGCGGCGGAGCCUUUUUAUGCGGAAGCUCCUAAACAUUUAGUUAUUUGUGUUUGGUCCCUCGUUCCUUCACCCCUCAUCGACCCUGUGGCUGCUUGAAGCGAAAAUUUUGAGCAAAAUUUUAAAUUGGAAUUAACACGAGCCGAGUCUGAUCCAGUCAAAUCUGAGCUCGAGUCCUAAGCGAAAGCUCAAUAAUUCUAUUGCAAUUUAUAUUUUCAAAAUUUAGGUUAAACUAUAAAAAUUUUCUCCCCAUUUUGUCUCACGUCUCAAUUAACUCUUGCAUAAGAUUUUGUUUUAAUUUAAAGAGAGAGAAAUACUUCUAGAAGUAAAUGCUCCAUGUAAGAUUUUUUUUGUCAUUUACGUGCAACCAAGAAAAUAUUAUUGGCUCCCUUCAUGUGGCCAUUUCACACGAUACAACUACCCAAUCAAUCCCAACUUGUCGCUCGUGUGCAUAGUGCUCCUACUAUGGGCAUGUUUAUUUCAACGUAAUUAGACUUAGGGUGGAAGUGGACUUUGGGUUGAAAUGGAGUUUAAAUAAAAAUUAAUUCAUUUUCGCUGUUUGUUUCUAACUGUGGAAAUGCAGUUCUGUGGGUUCUGUUGUUUGUUUGGUAGGAAAUAGAUGACGUAAAAAGUGUAGCUCUCCAUCCCUGGUAUACUUACCUCCGAAGUGAUAUUAUUGUCUAUUUUGUAACUUAGUGAAUAAUAAAUUAUAAUAAAUAAAAAUUAAUAUAAUUAUAUAUGUAUAUAAUUAUAUAUAUUUAUAAUUGUAAAAUAAAAUUUUAAAAAACUAUAUUAUUUGUUUGCAUAUAAAUUAUAAUAAUGCAACAAAUAAAAUUCUAAAGUUAAAAAAUUAUUAACAUUUAACAAAUUCAUUUUUCAUCAUUUUCUAAAUAUACAAAUUAGACAAAAAAUAUAUUAAAACUUACCUAACCAAAUUUGAUCACAUUGCCUAACCAAAUUUAACAAGCUCCUUUGCCUCUUUGCACUUCACCGGAAUUGACUUCGCCCCCUGGAAGGGCGAAGUCAAUUACCUUAUUUUGGGUGAACUCGACUUUCGGCCGUAAUAAAAUUAUGGCAAAACAAACAACGGAAGUAAUAGUUUACGGCGUAAACAACUUCCCCCCUCUCCACUUCCCCCUCACUUUCACCCAAACAAACACACCCUUAAUAGUAAACCAUGUUCAAGGAAAAUGGACGACCUACGAACCAUUUGCGCUAAUACCAACAUCUACCUUCCAAGUCAUGACUAGUAUGCUGCAUUAUCUAUACCUAUCGGCCGAGGUCACUCGACUACUAAUGCUACCUUCUUCAGGUUUGUAACAUACCGAAACCUCGGUAAUUAAAUUAGAACCUUGGUCAAAUUAACCAAAGUGCGAGGUUGGUACACUUCGGAGAGGCCGAAAGCGUCAAAUAAUGCCAAAAUGCAUUACUGGGGAUCUUCGAGAGCUUUUGGAAAUCAAAAUCUGCAAACUGCAGGUUUUGUACUCUCGGGGACCGGUCCCUGGUGGGAGAGACCGGUCCCCGAACGCGUAGGCAGCGAGGGAGGCUGAGAAAUCGACUAAGUCCUGGAAAACCAACUCUCGGGAACCGGUCCCUGCGAAGAGAGACCGGUUCCAUUGAGGGAGACCGGUUGCAUCGCGCGCAGCCUGCGCAGUCCGCGGGAGAAGCUCUUGAGGACCGGUCCCAGGUCGGGGAGACCGGUCCCUGACUGCGAAAAAUGCCCAGUCUGGGCAGUGCAUUGGAGAUAAAGUGCGAGGACUUAAAUGCAAUUGUCACAACACCUUAUAUGGCCCAAUCCUUUCCCCCUUUUCUCUCUUUUGUCUUUCUAGAGAGCUAACCCUAGAGCUUGGAGAAGAAGAAGGAGAGGCUUGGAGGAGGAUCCUUGAUGGAUUUGGUGGGUCUAGAAGCUCUCCAAUAAGAAGAAGCUUGCUAGGACUUCGACUAGAGAUAAGUUCUUGUAGGAUUUCAUCAUGGGUUUGGAUUUAAACCCUAAGUUUUGGAGUUUUGCGCUUCUUAGAGGUUUUAGAAGCAUGAUAGAGCCAUGAACACCAUGAAACCCUAAUUUUCUUCAUGGUGCUCUAAUGGGGGAUUUCUAGGGUUUGCAUUCUAAGCCCUAAAGAUGGUUGGGAUGGUUCUAAAUGAGUUUUUAGAGAUUAGACAAGCUCUCUUUUGCUUGUUUUAGAGAUCAAAACCUAGGGUUUAUCAAUGGGUUUGGUUAGGGCACCAAAUUUGGGGCUUUUGCCUCCGAGUAUUUCUAUGGCAAAUUGACUUUGUAGAAACCUAAUUGGGGGUGUCCUCGACGCGUUGGACAACUCGUUGGACAACUCCGUUCGACGUUACGAAAAUGUUUAAGUAUGGUUCAUGUACAAAAGGCCUAAUAUGGCACUAUUUUGGUAAUAGCACGUGGAAUCGGCUUUCGUAAAGUUCGGAAGUCGUCAUAUUCUACACCUACACGACUACUCAAGAUGGGUGGUGCAUUCCAAAGACCUCGAAAAUUUCUUUAUGUCUAAACUGUCAUGUUUGAACAUAUAUGUAUAUAUAUUGAGCAUGUUGCAUAGUAGGGUUAAUUUUGAGCUUUUAUGGUAUAAUUGUGAAUUUAAUUUCGUAUGAAAUACUUGUAAGAAUGUGAGAAUUGUAACCCUAUUUAUGCAUGACAAGUGACAAGAACCUAGAAGGGUUAGUGAACAAAAGUGACACAUGGACAUAGAUCUAGUGAGUGACAUUGAUGAGUCUCGAAAACUUAGAAAACAAGUGUGGCAUGAGUCAAGAACAUAACACUUAGAAAACAAGUGUGGCAUGAGUCCAAGAAUAUAGUAGUGUAUAUGACACAAGUAAGGAUAAAGAAUGCAAAGAAAAGAAUGAUUGAGAUAUUAUGACGUUUCAAUCUUAGAGUUAAGGGUCAUUUGAGCAUGGUCUUCCUUAAAGUUAAGGAAUGGAUUGAACUUGGAAUCCUCAAUGUAGGAUUGAUCGUACUCACCUUUAGUCCUUGCUCGAGGGUGGUAGCUCCCCCUCGGGCGAUGUGCUCCGGAGUUGGCAUCACUGGGUUGUAGCGGGUAUCUCCCUAGAGGACGGUCCUAUCGGGUUGUAGCGGGUAUCUCCGCGGUUAUUAGGAUUUUGGGUUGGUGAAUUUGUUGAGGGCGAAACCUACGGGUUAGCCAAGAGAUUGGGUAAAGAAAUUGUGAUCCUGCAUUCAUCAUGAGCAUUAUAUCGAGCAUUGCAUUUUAUAUUGUUCAGGCAUAUUAGUUGUAUUUUUUUUUUUUUUUUGAGAAAUAGGUAGCAAGCUACCUGCUUCAUUCAUUAAGCAAAAUGAACUAAGCGUACAAAAUGGAAACAGCCAGGGCCUCCGAAAGAACAGGCAAAAAAGGAUGAAAUAAAAUUGAAAGGCAGAAAGAAAACAAAAAGAACGAAAAGAGGAGGGGUGUUAAUAGGGAUAGUAGCUGGAGCCGAAACGACACAUCACAGCAAAGAGAUCCAGUCGUUUAGCAGAAGUUUGACACGUUCAAGAGACCGGGUAGCGUUGUGCGUGGUUCCUCGGAAAAUUGCGUUAUUUCUAUCUGUCCAGAUCACCCACCAAGUCGUAGCGAGGAGGGUCAAGCGUCGUGUUCUUGAAGAGUCGACCGGAAUGUCACACGAUCCAGUCCAGAGAGUGUUGACGUCGCCCGUGCUGUCAUCAAAUGUACCCCAUCCUUCCAUACUGAAGAGCAGGUAUCUUACAUAUACGCAUGUAUAGAAUAGAUGGUCACAGCUUUCCAUGAGUACCGCACAGAAGACACAGUGUUGAUCAACGAGCAUUCCGCGUUUGAGUAGUCUAUCAGCAGUGAGUAAUCUCUUCCGCAAUAGCAACCAAAUGAAGACUUUGAUUUUGGCCGGAAUUUUGAGUUUCCAAAUAUACCGAUUCGUUGGGAUAUACUGUCCCGUGUCUGUGAUGAACUGGUAGAGGGAUUUGACAGUGAAUAGUUGAUUGGAGGUCCAUCUCCAUUUAAUUGAGUCUGGACUGUCGUAGGGGCGAUGGCCUCGGAGCAAGUCUUUAAAAGUCGUUAAUUGUCUCCGAUUUUCGAUGGAUUGUGACGCCGAGUAGCCGCGGCAUAUAAAGCGCCAUCUCCAUCCGCCAUGAUUCCAGCACUGGGAAACACGAGCCUCCUUGUUCAUAGAGAUCUGAUAGAUAUCCGGGAAACGAGUACGAAGGGGGGUUUCCCCUAUCCAGAUGUCGUUCCACAUCCUAAUGUUCCUCCCGUCGCCUAGCUCGUAAGUCACGCCACAGGCGAAAAUGUCUCGACACCGGACCACACCUUUCCACCACUCCGAAUGGGGAGCAAAUGCUCUGCCCUCGAGUAAUGGCCUUCUUCGGGUGUAGUAAAGGGAUCUGACUAAUCUACACCAGAGUAGGUUUGGGUCAAAAAAGAAGCGCCACCACCAUUUGGUUAAAAGAGCGAAAUUCAUGCAUUCCAUGUCAAGAAUGCCUAAUCCUCCGUCCAUCUUGCUUCUACAGAUAGAUUUCCAAUUGACGAGACAUGCCCCACCGGUAACUUUUGAGCCUCCUUUCCAGAAGAAGGCUCUUCUGAGUCCUUCUAUCCGGUGCAAUACCCAUUGUGGUGCUUUGAAGAUCGAGAAUAGAAAAGCGGUAGGUUGGUGAGUACUGAAUUGACCAAGGUUAGUCUACCCCCCAGGGAGAGGAGUUUAGUUUUCCAGCCGUCGAUUUUGUGCUCUAUGCGGUUGAUUACCACAGACCAGUGCUCCUUUCGAAGUUUAGAGUUGUGGAGGGGUAGUCCCAGGUAGCGAAAAGGUAGCUUACCGACUUUGCAUCGUAAGAUGUUGGCAAGUCUAACAGCUUUAUGAGGGUUGGAACUCAAGUAGUAUAGUUCCGAUUUUCCCAUGUUGAUCCUGAGGCCGGAGGCCCAUUCAAAGAUAUUCCAGAGAAACAGCAGAUUAUGCAUAAAACGUUUCCUAGGCUCACAAAAGAAGAUUGUGUCAUCAGCGUAUUGGAUGAGCACUGUCUGGCAAUUGUCGGAAGGUCCAAUACCGUGAAUCAUAUUGCUCCCCCGCGCAGUAUCGAUCAGCCUGGCCAGACAAUCAGCCACCAAUAAGAAAAGGUACGGGGAUAGGGGGUCUCCCUGUCUAAGGCCUUUUCUAGCUUUCAACCACGGGGUUGGGACGUCGUUCACUAGGAUGGCGACUUUGGCGUUGCAUAUACAUUGUUCCAUCCAGGCCCACCAUUUGGCGCUGAAACCUAGCCAGUGCAAUAUACUCUUUAGGAACGCCCAUCUGACACUGUCGAAUGCUUUCUCGAAGUCAACCUUAAUGCUUACACAUUCCGUCUGAGUUUUCGAGCACCAGUUUAUUAAUUCGCUUGCAGUGACGAACGAGUCGACCAAAAGACGGUCUUUGAGAAAGGCCGAUUGGGUUGGAGAGAUGAUGGAAGGUAAUACAGCGGCCAGUCUGUUGGCCAGCACUUUAGAGAUGAUUUUCUGUAUUCCGUUAAUGAGGCUAAUAGGUCGAAAGUCGUUGACCUUGCGUGCUCCCUCCUUUUUUGGGAUGAGGCACACGUAGGAGUAGUCUGUCGGUCCCGUGAAAAGUGUCUCGUCGUGGAGAUCGAUAAAGACCUUGAAGAUAUCGUCCUUGACCACAUCCCAAAAGGUUUGGAAGAAGUUUAGAGAGAAGCCGUCUGGCCCAGGCGCCUUGUCAGUACCAAGUUGGAAAGUAGCAGUCUUGAUUUCGUCGAGGGUGAACGGAACCGUUAAGGUGUCAGGAUUUAGUAAUCUGUUAGCGUGGUAGAGGCCACUCCAGUUUCCGAACGAUGAUGAGCCCACCUCUGGGUUCCCGAACAAACGCUUAAAAGAUUUAAAGAAGUGGGUCUCUUAAGCUCUUCGUUGGAAAUAAGUUGGCCGGCGUCAUCCUCUAUUACAUCGAUCACAUUGGAGCAUUUUCGCCCGUUAGCGACCGCGUGAAAAAAUUUGGUAUUACAGUCGCCUUCCUUUAACCAGAGCUGUUUGGCCCUAGUCUUCCAAAGAAUUUCUUCCUCCUCCAAGAUUUGUCGUAAUUGAGUCUUGAGCUCAGUUCGUUUGUCUAAGAGUUCCUGAGGUAAGUCUUGUAAUUCCUCGAGGUGAUCAAUAGUUUGUAGUUCCGAUUGUAGGUGCUUUUUGGUAUUGGAAAUACUGUGGAAGUGCGUCUUGCACCACUCCUUCAUUCGGACUCUACAGUGCCGAAGCUUAGCUGUGAUAGUGAGAAUAGCUGAAUUCCUGUGGGCUAUUUCAUUCCACCAAAACGGUACUUUAGAGUGAAAAUCCUCCUUGGUGAGCCAGACUCUCUCAAAACGAAAUCUCCUUGAAGCUGGGGGUAUUCCCGAGGUAAGAAGAAUUGGAGUAUGGUCCGAGGUGAUCCUGGGGGAGAGCUUUGACCUUGCAGAAUGGAAAAGAUUGAUCCCAUUCCGUUGAGAUGAGGAAUCUGUCGAGCUUGGCCAAGGUAGGCUUGCAUUGCAUAUUCGACCAGGUGAAAUUUUGGUUAGACAAGGGUAAGUCGAUGAGUGCAAGGCAAUUAAUAAGGUCCGAGAACAUAUCCAUUGCUUUAGAGCUCCAAGGGUUUCCUUUUCUUUCGGAUUGAUAUCUUGUGAAGUUGAAGUCACCGCAGAUUACCCAAUUGGAUGAGCAGGUAGAGCUGAGGGAGAGAAGUUCAGAGCAAAACUCAUCUUUGCCAUCCCAAUAUUAGUUGUAUUUAUUAGUUGGUUCUUUUACUUUCUUUCCUUUAUUCUAUUAUGUCUGAUUAGACUUAGUGGGAUAGUCGGCGUGGUUGGUUGUCGAACCCAUUGGAAACUUUGUUGUAGUUCUCACACUCCUAUUUCCACAGAGUCGGGACCGAGCGAGCCAGCGGAUGAUCGCGGUAAGGGCAUCGCGCCCUAGAUAGUGACCGCCCGUGAUGGGUUCAUAUUUUGUAGUUGCAUUCCCUUUAUUAUCAUCUUUUGUAUUUGAUGAUUAUAUAUGUUAAAGGAAAACAGAACAUGAAUGAUGUAAAAGAGUUUAUGUUUAAAUGCAAGAAUUUAUAUUUGAGAACAUGCGAUGUAAAAGAGAAGAAAUGAUGCAAAAUUAUAAUUGAUUUCCUAAGUGUAGUUUAUUACUUUCACUAUUGGCUAUUGCUUGCCCUCGUGCAAGCCAUUGUGUAUACUUCCGCUUAUGCAAAUUGUUACUCUAUUGAUACUUGUUGUUGAGCCUUGGGCGGGCAGGGGAGGCUCUGUCCGUUCGGCGUCUGUUCGACGCUCUCGAACCGGCCAAAAGGAUCUGGCUCGGGUGUGACAAGGUCCACCGCAACUGAGUCACGAUGUAGCGCCGAAAAGACACCUCGCGGAGUCAGAACUCGCACUUUUUGAGCUUGGCAUAAAGCUUGUUCUCCCGCAGAGUCAGGAGAACCCGUUGCAGAUGAUCCUCGUGCUUUUCGUCGCUUUAUAAAUUGAUCAAUAUGUCAUCAAUUAAGACCACGACACGCUGAUUCAGAAAUAGCCGGAAGACUCUGUUCAUUAUGUCCAUAAACGCUGUCAAGGCGUUAGUAAGCCCGUAUCACUGUGAACUCGUAAUAGCUGUAACGAGUCCGAAAAGCGAUAUUCACCACAUUCUCAGCCCGAAUCUUAAACUGGUGGUAUCCAGACUGCAAAUUGAUUUUCGAGUAGACCGAUGAUCCUUGGAGUUGGUCGAAGAGAUCAUCGAUCCGAGAAAGGGGAUGUUUAUUCUUCACCAUGACCUUAUUGAGUUUCCGGUAGUCGAUGCAUAGUCACAAGCUACCGUCCUUCUUUUUAACGAAAAGGACUGAUGCUGUGAUAUAUGGGACCUUAGCAAAUAAGUAAGGUUACAAUAUGAACUUUUAAUUAGUUUUUUCUUUUAUAGUACUUAAUGGAGUUGGAGACGUUAUGGCGUGAAAUAGACACAAAAACGAACUCAAAAACUCAAGAUUUAAUUUGUGAAAGACUAAAUUCGAAAUAUUUGAUAUUUCAGGGAACUGUUGGUAUUUUUGCUAUUAUUAUGCAUGGAGUCCACGUAGGCAAUUGAGGCUUCAUACUUAUCCACUUUAUUCCUUCACCUUGAAGAAUUAAGAUAGAUGGAAUUUGAGCUUGAAGAAAAACAAAAAGAAAGCUUGGUUUCGUUCUAGCGAGCGAGCGAGUCGAGCUCGCGCACAUGAACUUUUUGGUGUUUUGACGUUGCGGUUAGUAUCACAAUAUUAUUAUUUCUCGUUUGAACUCUUUUGAUAAUUUUUUUUGUAGAAAUUGAGAAUUAGAAACUGAAUUUUUUUUAUAUUUUAAGAGCGGAUUUUGCAUAAUUUUGACGAAGGGCUUUCAAGUUAUUUUAAAGUAUUGUAGCUGUUAUCCCAUUUACCAAUCAUUUCCUCGGACUUGCGUUAUAGGUAGGUUCCGUGUUGUCAAAAUUGACGGAUUAAUUUUUCUGUCCAUAUUAUAUUAUUUAGCCUGUGAGAUGAACUGUUGACAUAGUUGAGAUAAUAAUGAUAUUUUGAUACCAAUCAGUAGAGUAAAUUGAGACAUAUAUAUAUAUAUAUAUAUAUAUAUAUAUAUAUAUAUAUAUAUAUAUAUAUAUAUAUAUAUAUAUAUAUAUAUGUAAAUAUAUAUAUAUAUAGAGNNNNNNNNNNACAGCAAGUAUGAUCAUAUCCUUAACUCAAAGGAUUAUAGUUCAAUCUUGACUUUACACUAGCUCUAGUGUUCUUUACAUCACUUUAUGUUGCAAACUCAUGCAAUCACAUUCUUUACAUUUUUAUUACUCUUGCUAACUCUAGCAAUCAUUGUUCUUUGCAUUUCUUUUACUUUAACUUUAUACGUUGUCACCUUCUUCAUUCUUUACAUCACUUUAGUUCUUUACAUCACACUAACUCUAGUGUCAUUUCACAUUAGCUUUAUCAAAUGCCACUCGAUCUAUGUCAUUGUGCCACUCUGUUCUUUUACUCACUUUGGGUACUCACAUCUUCUCUCAUGCAUACAUCUAGGGUUUUGACAUUAUUAGGUUCUCAACCCUCUCAUUAUGCAAGUUGUGCUCACAAUCAUGCAAUCAUCACAUUUCAUCAUUACUUUACCCUAAAAUGCAUGCAACAAUAUAUAGAACACAUGCUCAAAGAAUGACACAUUAGGCAUAGAGAGAAUUUCAAUGAGUUUGAGAAGCACCACCCACCUCGUAGGCUUUCAAAGGUGCUCCGACGAUUUUCUUGGGACUUUUAGACGCUUCGUUCUUUACCUGCGGCAAAGCGAACCCUUAUUAGGCCAUUUUGCCCAUAACUUUACUUUGACUUUUCGUAACGUUAAUCCGAACGCACCAACGCGUCGGAAAUACCCCCAAUUAGGUUUCUAGAGGGUCAAUUGCACUUAGCAAUCCUCAUGAGCAAAAGCCCCAAUUUGGUGCCCUAGCUCCAAUACACAUAUCAAAACCUAGGGUUUAAUCUCUAAGAGAAGCAAAAGUAGCUUCAUUAUACUCUAAAAAGUUCAUUAGAACCAUCUUUAGACAAAUCAAAACCCUACUUAGGGUUUCACCAUGAGAGGUGAUGAAGCUCACCUCAAGCUUCACCAUUUCUAUGGUCUUGAUCUCAAGAGAAGCAAAAGAAAAGCUCCAAAUACUCAAAUGGUUUCAUAAAACCCAUUUUAAGCUUAAUCCAAACCCUGGAUUAGGUUCUACCAUGAUUAGGGUUCAAAUCUUACUUGUAAGCCCUUCUUUUAAGUAGAGAUGAAGGGGAAGGAGUUCUUCACUUCUUCUUCUUCUCUUCACUUCUUCUCUUUCUUUUCCUUUUCUUCUUCCUUUUCUUUCUCCUCUUUUGUCUUCUAGAGAGAGAGAGGGAGAGAAGAGAGUGUGAGAGGUGGAAUGAGAGAAAUGUCUCAUUUACCCUAUACUAUACUCAGAUGGGUUGGCAAAAUUGCAUUAAACCCUCAACUUUACUUUAAUUACACUGCCCGAACUGGGCAGUUCGCGCAGGCAGAGACGCGUCUCCCGAGCAGCGCGGUCCGAACGUCCACUCUGCGCAGCCAGAGUGCUGCGCGCGAUGCGACCGGUCUCCCCCGCAUGGGACGGUCCUGGGGGGACCGGUCUCUCAGGCAGAGACCGGUUCCGAGAGCUAUCCUUCCAGGACUUAGCCGAUUUUUUUUCGCGCUGUCAUCAUCUUCUGCACUCCGGCGUUCGGGGACCGGUCUCUCCCACCAGGGACCGGUCCCCGAGAGCUCAAAACCUGCAGUUUUGCAGAAUUUGAUUCUUUAGCUCUCGAAAACCUUCCACAGCUCACUUUUGAUCACUUUAACACCUUCGGACUUUCCGAGGUGUUCCAUCCUCGCACUUUGGUCAAUUUGACUAAAGUUCGACAUUUUUAUUUUCCGAAUUCUCGGUAUAUUACACUUUAUAAAUUGAUCAAUAUGUCAUCAAUUAAGACCACGACACGCUGAUUCAGAAAUAGCCGGAAGACUCUGUUCAUUAUGUCCAUAAACGCUGUCAAGGCGUUAGUAAGCCCGUAUCACUGUGAACUCGUAAUAGCUGUAACGAGUCCGAAAAGCGAUAUUCACCACAUUCUCAGCCCGAAUCUUAAACUGGUGGUAUCCAGACUGCAAAUUGAUUUUCGAGUAGACCGAUGAUCCUUGGAGUUGGUCGAAGAGAUCAUCGAUCCGAGAAAGGGGAUGUUUAUUCUUCACCAUGACCUUAUUGAGUUUCCGGUAGUCGAUGCAUAGUCACAAGCUACCGUCCUUCUUUUUAACGAAAAGGACUGAUGUUGUGAUAUAUGGGACCUUAGCAAAUAAGUAAGGUUACAAUAUGAACUUUUAAUUAGUUUUUUCUUUUAUAGUACUUAAUGGAGUUGGAGACGUUAUGGCGUGAAAUAGACACAAAAACGAACUCAAAAACUCAAGAUUUAAUUUGUGAAAGACUAAAUUUGAAAUAUUUGAUAUUUCAGGGAACUGUUGGUAUUUUUGCUAUUAUUAUGCAUGGAGUCCACGUAGGCAAUUGAGGCUUCAUACUUAUCCACUUUAUUCCUUCACCUUGAAGAAUUAAGAUAGAUGGAAUUUGAGCUUGAAGAAAAACAAAAAGAAAGCUUGGUUUCGUUCUAGCGAGCGAGCGAGUCGAGCUCGCGCACAUGAACUUUUUGGUGUUUUGACGUUGCGGUUAGUAUCACAAUAUUAUUAUUUCUCGUUUGAACUCUUUUGAUAAUUUUUUUUGUAGAAAUUGAGAAUUAGAAACUGAAUUUUUUUUAUAUUUUAAGAGCGGAUUUUGCAUAAUUUUGACGAAGGGCUUUCAAGUUAUUUUAAAGUAUUGUAGCUGUUAUCCCAUUUACCAAUCAUUUCCUCGGACUUGCGUUAUAGGUAGGUUCCGUGUUGUCAAAAUUGACGGAUUAAUUUUUCUGUCCAUAUUAUAUUAUUUAGCCUGUGAGAUGAACUGUUGACAUAGUUGAGAUAAUAAUGAUAUUUUGAUACCAAUCAGUAGAGUAAAUUGAGACAUAUAUAUAUAUAUAUAUAUAUAUAUAUAUAUAUAUAUAUAUAUAUAUAUAUAUAUAUGUGUGUGUGUGUGUGUGUGUGUGUGUGUGUGUGUGUGUGUGUGUGUGUGUCAAUAAUCAGAUACAGAUAGUGUGAGACUAUAGUUGUAUUUUAGACACUAUGACAGUAUUAUCAUGAUCUAUUUAAGCAUCGCAUUUGACCACAGCCUGUAUGUUAUGUUGAGUUUGACAGUGAUACUAUAUUUAAUUGGGGUAACACUCCGCGAGUGCUGCUCUGAAGGUUAGGUUAUGAGAUGAUAUGAUGGCAUGAGCCAAAUAGCAGCCUGUGUGGGAGCGGACCACUAUAGGUUGGUGAUGGACACGAGCGACGCAGGCUAGAUUUGACUGUUGAGCUGAUCACUAUGAUUGGGUUUUAUUGUAAUAUUUUAUUUAGUAACUAAUUGAUAGAACUACAAAUUUCAAUUAUAUUGUAGAGGCAUGAUAAUAGUAGUUACUUUCAAUACUUAUUCAUAUUAGUACUUGCUUAUUUACACUGCUCGGUCAUUUACUAUUUUUGCCUUUUAUGGAUCUAGCAGUGUAGACCGUCGGCGUUGAUGAUCGUACCCAAUGAGGACUAUUGAUUAUAGUUCUUAUACCCUCUUUAUUAAUAUUUUAUUUCAGAGCCUUCAGCACCAGCGACUGAUUGAGAUAAGGGGAUUGCGGAUAGUUAGCAUCUCCUACUCUUUUUGUCUGUAUAGUUGGACAAUCUAUCAUUGUAUAUAGCAGCCUGCAUAUUGCUUUGAGAUUUGGAGUGGUCAAAGAUGUUAUACCAUUUGAGAACUGGUAUAGUGAUAAUUAUAUAUAUUUACAGUGUUACUAUAGUAUAUAGUUUUUAUUUCCUUUGAUAUCUACUGUUGUUAGAUUUUAAUUAAUUUUAUUAGACAGAUUUUGUUGACGCUUCAUAUGUAUAAGAUGUAUCCUUGUGCAUACGACCGGUCUGUUGACGUAACCCGGGCUUCCUCUGUAAUUCGGGACAUGACUGAUGCACCCCAAGGAUACAGUAGGUCUGAUGAACCCUUUGUGUAAGAGAUCCUCGAGCUGAGCCUUCAGCUCAGUGAAGGCCAUCUGAUAGUGAGCCUUCGAGAUAGGGGUCGUGCCAGGAACCAGGUCAAUGAAGAACUCGAUCGCUCAAUCUGGAGAUAUCCCGGAUAGCUCCGCUGGAAUGACAUCGAGAAAAUCCCGAACCACCGGGAUCUCCUCCAAAGCUGGAGUCGCUAGACGAACAUCCUCCACUUAGACCAGAUAGGCAACACACCUCCCUAUCAUAAGCCUCAUCGCCCUAGCAGCAGAGACAGACAUGACGAAGAAGGAGCUCUUACAUGCACGGUAGGCGAACUCCUCUUCACCAGGCACUGCAAAGGUCACCGUCCUCUUCUCGCAGUUGAUAGACGUGUGGUGCCUUGUGAGCCAUCCAUCUCAAGCACCACGUCAAACUCCUUGAUCGGCAAUACGACCAGGUUUGCCAAGAAUGCCUGAUCGUCCAACAAUGUAGGGCACGGCAUGAUGCAUAUAUCCGCGUUCAACUUGAACUCGAGUGCCUAAAUUCGUAGUGCCUUCACUUGAACUAUUCUAGCCCACAUUGAGCCCGAGCCCAAAUAUAGCUUAAAUCUAACCUAGGCUUGUUCUAAACCCAAACUAUAUGGGCUUGACUUCAGCCAAAGUCUAAAUCUAAUAGCCAAUCUAUAUCUUAUCCUAAACUAUGAGAGCUCAUACUAAAUCCCACACCUAAGCCCAACCCAAACCUGAGUUAUAUGGGCCCAAGUUUAGCCAAAAAAAUUUAAAUUUGAACCCAACCCAAUUAUAUUUCCGAAUGGGCCCAAGUUCAUGUCAAAGACUAAAUAUGAACCCAACCCAAUUAUUUAAUCCGGAUUGGCCCACGUUGAGCCCAGUCCCUAAUUCCAAUCCAAUCCAAAUUUCACGGGCGUGAGACCUAAACCAUAUUAACCAAACCAAAGCCAAACCUAACCUCAGACCCAAAUCAAAUCAAAAUCCCAGUUUAACCCAAUUCAAAUCGUGCACAACUUGAUGCAACCUAUUGUCCUUUCAGGUCCUUAGAAACAAAUCUUUUCAACCCAAUUCUCUAACAAAUAAAACUAGAGUCACAUUGCCACUGCAUUCAACCUCAACUGAAAUCUAAAAUAUACGAAUUAAUCAAACUAUCCUUUAUCUUAGUACAUGUGACUAAGAUAAGAAAAUAAUAAAUUAGGUCCCACAAAACCAAAUUAAUUUGAUUGGACUCUAAUACACGUACUUAGAGUUUAAUUAAAUCAAUUAGACUCUAAUAUGUAUAAUUAGAGUUUAAUCUAAAUCAAAAUUGGCUAAAUCUUAAUACAUAUACAAUUAGGAUUUAACCAUCAUUCACCUUUGGGUGAACUCAAAUAUGGUUGGACUCUAACACACAUACUUAGAGUUCAACUAAAUCAAUUAGACUCUAAUAUGUAUAAUUAGAGUUUAUCUAAACCAAAUUCGGCUAAUGUUAUAUAUAUAUUUAGGAUUUAGCCAUACUUCAUCUUAGGGUGAACUUAAACCUGAUUGAGCUAUAAUUAAUAUAUAUAAUUAGAGUCUAAUCUAUUCAAAUCCGACUAAGUCCUAAUAUAUACAGUUGGGAUUUAGUUAAUUCUAUACCUUAGGGUGGACAUAUUGAGCUCUAAAAUAUAUACUCAAAGCCCAGUCAAAUCUAAUUGGAUUAAUCCCUAAGAUGUAUUGCUAAGGAGUAAUCAAAUUUAAAUUCAAUCGACCGUCAUCUUGUUAAACUAAUCACUCUCAUCUUUUAUGUUUAUAUUAUACUCAUAUACACUAGGGGUAUGCCCCUGGUUAAGCUAUGUAGCUGUACAACAGCCUAUGUAAUAAAAUUCAUCUUUUAUAUGAUUCCAGUCUAUCUCAUUAUCAGUAUUUCAGAGGUCUCUUAAUCGAAGGUGCCCUAACAUUUUAUAGAGGUAACGUAUAGUAGACGCUUAUGUUUAUUGGUAGCCAUGGAUCCAUAAUACUUGAUACGCAUACAUCUUAAAUAUCAAUUUGAAUCAUGAGUACCACUCCACGAUGGUCGCAGACAUAACUGAAGUUGAAGCUUCAGCUGGAGGUUUGCUAGGGAAGGCUAGGCCGACUCCCUUUCUCAUCCUCGUUUUCUCUCAUUCUCUUCUUUCUUCUUUUCUUCUUCUUCUUUCUUUCUCUCUUCCUCUCUUCUUUUCUUUUCUUUUCUUCUUCUUCUUUAUUCUUCUCUUCUUCUCUCCUCUUCUUCUUUUUUUCUUUUGCUCUCUUCUUUUCUUUUCUCUUUAAUAUUUCUUUCUUUCCUCUUCUUGUCUCUUCUUUUCUUCUUCUUCUUUCUUCUUUUCCUUUUUUCUUUUUUUCUUAUCUCAUUCUCCUUUUGUCUUUUUAUUCUCACCAUUGUGACACCCUAAUAAUCCCGCAUCGAGUAGUUAUGGCUAGAUGUGGGGGUACAUAAGCUUGAUUAGGCUGAAAAUAAUAAUUAGGCUUAAGCAUUUUGGGCCAGUGGUUUGGGCCCAACGAGUUAUUAUUGCUAGCGGGUCAAGUCAUUACAUUUGGUAUCAGAAUCGGUUCGUCAGGCGGAAGUGUGAGAUGAGCAUUGGCUGAGCCAGGGUCGGAAUGACAAAUUAAGCCAGGGUCGGUGAAUGACAUGCUAAGUCAAGGUUGGAAUGGCAAGGCUAGCGAGACAAGUCUCACAUUGCUGGAUGAUCUUGGGUUGUGUGUGUGUUUUGAGCUAACGAGAAUGUCAGGGCCUAAAUAGGGGGUUGUCUGUGAUACCCCAAUAGUCUCACAACGGAUAGGAAUGGGAUUGUUAUUGGGUGUAUAAGAGAACUUCACUAUAUUAAUAAUAAUUGGGUUUAAGAAUUUUGAGCCGGUUGUUUGGGCCCAAAGGGUAAUUAUUGCUAGUGAGCUGGGUCGUUAUAUUUGGUAUCAGAGCCGGUUCACCAGCCGGAAGUAUGACUGUGAGAUGAGUCUUGGCUGAGCCGGGAUCGGAAUAACAGACUGAGCCAGGGUCGGUGAAUGACAGGCUAAGUUAGGAUUAGAAUGACAAGGCUAGUAAGACAA
rnacentral:lncRNA from 1 species